rnacentral:tRNA from 1 species
GCCCGUGUGGUGGAAUUGGGUAGACACGCCACACUCAAAAUGUGGUGCUCUUUGGAGCGUGCGGGUUCGAGUCCCGCCACGGGUA